ACUCGAGUGGCGAACGGGUGAGUAACACGUGAGUAACCUGCCCUUGACUUUGGGAUAACUUCAGGAAACUGGGGCUAAUACCGGAUAGGAGCUCCUGCUGCAUGGUGGGGGUUGGAAAGUUUCGGCGGUUGGGGAUGGACUCGCGGCUUAUCAGCUUGUUGGUGGGGUAAUGGCCUACCAAGGCGGCGACGGGUAGCCGGCCUGAGAGGGUGUACGGCCACAUUGGGACUGAGAUACGGCCCAG
rnacentral:rRNA from 1 species